rnacentral:rRNA from 1 species
GGGUCAGUAGGUUGGUCAUGCCACUGGUAUGUACUGAUCUUACUGAUUCCUCCUUCCUGGUGAACCGUAAUGCCAUUAAUUUGGUGUUGCGGGGAGACUGGACUGUUACUUUGAAAAAUUAGAGUGUUUAAGGCAGGCUAACGCUUGAAUACAUUAGCAUGGAAUAAUGAAAUAGAAUGUUCGAUCCUAUUUUGUUAGUUUCUAGGAUAGAUGUAAUGAU